UAUAUAUAUAUCAGCUAGAUUCAGUGCAUAAUUAAAAAUAAAGUUUGACUGGGCUACUAUCGAUAGUAAACUGCUCGGUUUACUAUUGAUUUGUUUUUGAUGAUAGAGCUUCAAAAUCAACGAUCGGCACCGUUGAACAUGAUCUAGACCAUUUAAAUUAUCUAGAAAUCAAAUUUCAUGAUUUUUUGGCAUCACUAACUGAACGAUCAAAGGGUCACAAAAUCUAUAAUUUUAAUGGCCGAUAUGGUGUGUUUGCUCGUUUAACGGUAUAGAAGAGUUCAAAUCAACUAAAUUUUUGUUAAAAAAUUCUUUAAACUAUUUAANUAUAUAUAUAUAUAUAUAGAGUUGAGCCAGAAUACUCUCAAAAUCAUCAAAAGAGUGGUGCUUUUGAGUUUUUAGCCAUUGGAUUGAGAGAUGUAGGAUUGAGAUGAUGGUAGGAUUGAGAUGAUGGUGGUAGGUGGUGGCAGGUGGAAUAGUGUUUGAUCCAAACACUAUUAGUAGUCAAGGAAUAGAUCCAAGGGUUAGAAACUUAGAAGCAUCAAGGAGUUGGUACUUCUAAAAAUAUUCUAGCUCAAUUCUAUAUAUAUAUAUAUAUAUAGAGAGAGAGAGAGAGAGAGAGAGAGAGAGAGAGAGAGAGAGUCCGGCUAUGGUGCUUGUAAAAGCACAAAGUACUUGGUGCUUAUAAAUUUUUUACCGUUAGAUCUAAUCCUUUUAUUAUUUUCAUCCGUUAGAUUAUACUAUUCAACCAACUACCCACUCAACCCUAGGGGGCCCAUAUCAUCCUAACCGCACAUCUCUUAAUUCAAAGGCCAAAAAUCUACAAGUACCAAAUUUGUGCUCCUAAGUUCUUAACCGCUUAUCAAAUUUGAUGGGUGGUUAGGAUGAAAGGGAGAAGAGAAAUUGGAGAGAAAUUGGGUUUCUCAAUUUCUCAUCUUUUUAAAUUUCUCUCAAAUUUUUCUUUUCUCUUUUACCCUAACUAUCCAUCAAAAUUAAUAGACGGUUAGAAACUUAGAAGCACAAGGGCUGCUGUGCUCCUAAUAGCAUAGUAGCCCUACUAUAUAUAUAUAUAUAUAUAUAGAACUAGGCUAAUAUACUAUUAAUAGCACCAAGUCAUUGGUGCUACCAAGUAUUUGGCCAUUGGAUUAAGAGAUGUGCGGUUAUGAUGAUGUAGAUCCCCUAGGCUUGAGUGAGUGGUUGGUUGAAUAGUAUGAUCUAACGGAUGAAAAUGAUCAAUAGGGUAGAUCUAACAGCGGAAAACUUGGUAGCACCAAGUGCUUCGUGCUAUUAAUAGCAUAGUAGCCGAACUCUAUAUAUAUAUAUAUAUAUAUAUAUAUAGAACUAGGCUGGAAUACUAUUAACAGCAUCAAUGACUUAGUGCUAUUAAGUUUUCUGCCCUUGGAUUAAAAGAUAUGCGGUUAGGAUGAUGUGAGUCCCCUAGGGUUGAGUGGGUGGUUAGUUGAAUAGUAUAAUUGAACGGAUAAAAUGAUAAAAAAGGUAAAUCUAACGGCAGAAAACUUGAUAGCACCAAAUGCUCUGUGCUAUCAAUAGUAUCUCAGCCGGACUCUCUCUCUCUCUAUAUAUAUAUAGAGAGAGAGAGAAUUAUGUUACUAUACUAUCAAUAGUAUGAAGUCCUUAGUACUAUUAAUUUUUCGGCCGUUGGAUGAAAAGAUGUGCGGUUAGGAUGAUAGCGUUUCCAUAGGGUUGAGUGGGUGGUUGGUUUAAUAGUAUAAUCUAACGGGUGGAAACGAUCAAAGAGUAGAUCUAACGGUAGAAAACUCAAUAGUACCAAGGGCUUGGUAUUAUCAAUAGUAUAGUAGCCGGACUAUAUAUAUAUAUAUAUAUAUAUAGGCUAAUGCUACUAUCCUAUUAAUAGGAUAUGAGCACUUGUCCUAUCAAGUUGUUCUUGAUGAUCGAGAUUCCGAAUCGAUGAUCGGAGCCGUUGAAGUUGAUCUAGAGUAUUUGAAAUAUCUAGAAACUAAAUUUCAUAAAUUUUGAUAAUGGUUUACAUGGUGAUCAAAGUGUUGUAAAAUCGACAAUUUUUGACGAUCUAUAUGAGCCGUUUGCUUGUUUAACGGUGUAGAGCAAUCCAAAUUGCUUGAAUUUUUGAUAGAAAAUUCUUUAUACUGUUAAGAUAAUGUUUGAUAACUCUGAUUACGAACUGAGAAAGUCUAACCUCUAUUUUAAGAAGGUUAUUCAUUUAUGACCGUUCAUUUUUCAACUCUUAAGAUGAACUUGAUAAUGAUUUUUAAAUAUUACAAAAUUUGGUUUCUAAACAUUUCUAAUUGUGUAGAUCAACUUCAACGGUGCCGAUUAUCAAUUUAAAGUUUCGAUCAUUCAAAUCGACUUGAUAGAACAAGAGUCCCAAUCUUAUUAAUAGAAUAGUAGCCGGACCCUAUAUAUAUAUAUAUAUAUAUACAUAUAUAUAUAGUAUCAAUAAUAUAUA
rnacentral:lncRNA from 1 species